rnacentral:rRNA from 1 species
CAAUAGCGUAUAUUAAAGUUGUUGCAGUUAAAAAGCUCGUAGUUGGAUUUCUGGUCGGAAGCUCCUGUCCUCUGAUGAGCGUACAAGUGCGUCCUACCAUCCUUCUGUUAACCUUUAAGGCUUUCGCGGCUUUCUAGGGGCUCAGAUAUUUUACCUUGAGAAAAUUAGAGUGUUUCAGGCAGGCUAGCGCCGGAAUACAUUAGCAUGGAAUAAUGGAAUAGGACUUUUGCCUCUUCUGUUGGUCAUGAGGCUCGAGUAAUGAUUAAUAGGGAUAGUUGGGGGCAUUAGUACUUAACUGUCAGAGGUGAAAUUCUCGGAUUUGUUAAAGACUGACUUAUGCGAAAGCAUUUGCCAAGGAUGUUUUCAUUAA